UGUCCAUCAGUAGAAAGCUGGUGAAAGAAAUGCCAGCCCAUCAUCCAAAGGAGCAGGAAGCAGCUGUUGAGGAGGAUGAACAAUAAUGGCUGUGCUACUAUGUAGAGAUCUUCAGGGUCACAGAACCGGGAAGUCGUGGGUUAUGGUCUUGCUGAUCCAAAUUACAGGCUCUUUUCACUGCCCCAUGCUGCCUCCCCGGAACACAGGAACUAGGGAAAUGUGUAACCAAGGGUUGCACAAAACCCUUUGUUACACGUACUUCAUAGAAUCAGUGCUAGAGUUCUUCUGAGAAAGGAAAAAUUCGUGUGGGCUAAGGUGAACAGAGACUUCUGGGAAGCACUGAAUGGUGCCUUGAAAGAUGAAAUAAGAUUUUUCCACAGAAGCAAAGAGAAAUGAGGAGGGAAUCCCUGCUGGGGGAUGAUGCUGUCAGGUGAUGCUGCUGGUCUGAGGACUGCAUUUCAAAUAACAAAUAACAAAGCUCAAGGCUGACUCCAAGCUCCAUGAAGUAGGUACAAAAAAGACAGAGAAGGGAAUCAAGACAUACCACUACAGAAAAUCAUCAAAUCACAAAGAGAAGAACAAAGAAAGGAACUACAAAACAGCCAGAAACAAUGAACAAAAUGUCAAUAGCAAGUCUUUAUCUAUCAAUAAUUACUUUAAAUGUAAUUGGGUUAAAUUAUCCAAUAAAAAGAUAUAGAGUGGCUGAAUGAAUAAAAAAGCAAGACCCAACAACAUGCUGCCUAUAAGAGACUCUCUUCAGCUUUAAGUACACACAUAGGCUUAAAGCAAUUGUAUAGAAAAAGAUAUUUCAUACAACUGGAAACCAAAAGAGA